rfam:Asian citrus Psyllid, Diaphorina citri - Florida Strain, whole genome shotgun sequence.
GCCUAGUUAGCUUAGUUGGUAGUGCGUCUGCCUUGUAAGCGCUAGGCGCCGCGGGUUCGAUUCCCGCCUGGGGCG